rnacentral:rRNA from 1 species
UACGUAGGGGGCUAGCGUUGUCCGGAUUUAUUGGGCGUAAAGCGCGCGCAGGCGGUCUUUUAAGUCUGAUGUGAAAGCCCACGGCUCAACCGUGGAGGGUCAUUGGAAACUGGGGGACUUGAGUGCAGGAGAGAAGAGUGGAAUUCCACGUGUAGCGGUGAAAUGCGUAGAGAUGUGGAGGAACACCAGUGGCGAAGGCGGCAUCCUGGACCAACACUGACGCUGAUGAGCGAAAGCCAGGGGAGCAAACGGG